CGGGCGGAAGCAGGAAGCGGCGGACCGGGAUCACGCCCGCGGCUGUGUGGCUGUGGGGUCAUGGCGGAGAAGUUCGACCACCUGGAGGAGCACCUGGAGAAGUUCGUGGAGAACAUCCGGCAGCUCGGCAUCAUCGUCAGCGACUUCCAGCCCAGCAGUCAGGCCGGGCUUAACCAGAAGCUGAAUUUUAUCGUUACGGGCUUACAGGAUAUUGAUAAGUGCAGACAGCAACUUCAUGAUAUUACUGUACCUUUAGAAGUUUUUGAAUAUAUAGAUCAAGGUCGAAACCCCCAACUCUACACCAAAGAGUGCCUGGAGAGGGCUUUGGCUAAAAAUGAGCAAGUUAAAGGCAAGAUUGACACAAUGAAGUGGUGUCUGCAGCUUCUGACUCCCGUCUCCUGCGUACCGUAUCCCAGUCACGCAGUUCUCCGCAGAGAACUCACUCUUUGUGUUUCUUUACUUUGAUGAGAUCUAAAAAACUCUAUGCAUCUUGAACAUGAAAUAUGUACAGAUCUUCCUCAACUUAACGAUGAGGUUACGUCCCAAUAAACCCAUUGUUGAAAAUAGUGUAAGUCAAAAAUGCAUUUAAUACACCUAACCUACCGAACCUCCGAGCUUAGCCCACCCCACCUUAACAUGCUCGGAACAUUACCCUACAGUCGGGUGAAAUCGUCUCCCACAAAGCCUAUUUUAUAAUGAAGUGUUGAGCGUCUGAUGUGAUGUAUUGAAUACUGUAGUGAAAGUGAGAAACAGUGGUUGUCUGGGUACAGAAUGGUUGUCAGUGGGUCAGUCGUUCACCUGGCGAUGGUGGGGCUGACUGGGAGCUGCGCUGCGCUCGCUGACACUGCAGCGUCACCAAGGAGGAUCACACCACAUAUCAGUAGCCUGGGGAAGAUCAAAAUUGAAAAUUGAAAGUGUGCUUUCUACUGAAUCCAUUUUGCUUUCGCACCAUCGUAGUAUUCAAAAAUUGUAAGUUGACCCAUUGUAAGUCUGGGACUGUCUGCAGUCUUUUUUCUUACUUAAAUUAAUUCAAAUAUGGCUCAGAUUGGAGUGUGUGUGGUUUUCCCUUAACUGGCUGGUCCCAUCCCUUUAACGGCCUCCCACUUCUGUUGGCCUCGUGCAAGGAGCUUUCCUGCCCCUCUGCCCCUCUUCUUCAUACCAGAGCCCACCCUGGCCUUGUUUCCAUUUCUGGAAUUUACCUAACCCCUCUCCCUGUUUUCCCUAUGCUGUUUCCUCUCUCUGCACAUGCACACUGACAACGCUUUGGGGUCCGUGGAUCUCACCUCCUCAAGGAGGCCUCGAGGACAAGCCUUUCCUCAGCUGCUUCCUGGAGAGCACUGAUGAGGAUUCGCUUUUUUCUAUUUGUUCUCUCCCCUCCACUGCAGCUGAAGCUCCCAGAUCUCAGGGGGCAUGAGUGUCUGUGCCUUCUGAUGCCCAGCACCCACAGGUGUGCCCAGUCACUGUCUGAUGUGUGCAGGGAUGGCCACACAGUGAUCUCUUAGGGUGCUCUGGCCGAGUGCAAGGAGUGAGGGGAGACGCUCUGUCAGAACGAUAGUGAUGUGCCAGUCACAUGCUGCCCUGGGGACGUAGGGCUUCCCGGCGUUCCUCCCAGGUGAUUGCACUGAGCGGGUUCUGGAAGUGGCUGUUGCUGCAAUUGUUGGUGUGUGGCCACGGCUUCAUUUCUGGUUUGUGAGUUUGGGAUUGAGUUACUGGUGAACUCAGCGUCACCCUUAGGACAUAACACAGCAUUUAAUCAAUAGCAAGCCGUGAUUGUUUUGAGUGCUCUGUGAGUGAGUUGUACUGUCCGGCGGAAAUCCCCUGCUCUGUGGACAGGGGCGUGGUUCAUGCUUGAUGUGCUCCCGUCUGUCCCCCUUCUCUUCGCCUCCAGAGCCUUGGGCGGCGCAGAGGUUUCCUGUUGGCAGUAAUGUCAGCAACCGUGCAGUCAUCUUCAGUUUGCUUGUGUUGCUGCUUGGUCAUUUCUCUCAUCUAAGAUCUGUGAAAUCUCAUGCCACAGUUCCGUCGCCCUUGUCUGCCCUGUGGGCUGUGUAUUUGAAUUUCCAAAGUUAUAUCUUAAAUAUUUACUGUAAUGCAGGGCUGCAGUUCUCCUUUGAGAGUGUGCUUUAGCUUCUAAAUUUAAAAGCCUGUUGAUUCAAGAACUUUCUAAAGUGUUUCCCGAAGACAUGGCCAAGUAUCGAAGCAUCCGAGGGGAGGACCACCCCCCUUCCUAACUCCGUCCUCCCUCUGUCUGAAGAUCCUCCUUGUCCUGUGGGUGUUGCUGUGACCUUCAGGCAGCCUGUGACUUUGAGUGGCAGCAGUGCCGCUGUUCUGGGCCUGUCCUCCAGCCACCCUGUCCACGUCAUUGGGCUUGGGGGAGGGCGGGGCCUGGAGGGUUUGUGGAGCUGUGCCACCAGCUGCCUCUCUGUCCCUGACGUGCAUCUGUCUGGUCCUCAAGCUUUCAGGCGGCUAGUGAUCGCACACCUUUGAGUGCGAUGCAUUUGAUGCUCCAUGGCACAGUAGUCUUGGAAGUAUUAACUGUGGUAGGUAAAUUGAAGCUGUUAAAAAUUCUCCCUAAUGGUUUUCUUUUUAUAUGCUCUUUCUGUUCCAUUUUAUUAUGAUGUCAAAGAAAGCUAAAGAAAAGAGAAAAAAAUUAAAAAGAAAAAUUGGUUUAAUAUGAGAAUUACUUGAAAUUGGUUUUAUAUUUUCGAGUACAGUGCGUAAGCAAUGCGUUUACUGCAACUGUGCUCACAUAGGUUUCAGUUAGGCCUAAACGUGUAAUAAAGUCUAAGUGUUUAUGACU